UUCCGGUUGAUCCUGCCGGACCUGACUGCUAUCGGAUUGAUACUAAGCCAUGCGAGUCAUUGUAGCAAUACAAGGUAUACGGCUCAGUAACGCGUAGUCAACCUAACCUAUGGACGGGAAUAACCUCGGGAAACUGAGAAUAAUGCCCGAUAGAACACUAUACCUGGAAUGGUUUGUGUUCCAAAUGAUUUAUCGCCGUAGGAUGGGACUGCGGCCUAUCAGUUUGUUGGUGAGGUAAUGGCCCACCAAGACUAUUACAGGUACGGGCUCUGAGAGGAGUAGCCCGGAGAUGGGUACUGAGACACGGACCCAGGCCCUAUGGGGCGCAGCAGGCGAGAAAACUUUGCAAUGUGCGAAAGCACGACAAGGUUAAUCCGAGUGAUUUGUGCUAAACGAAUCUUUUGUUAGUUCUAGAAAUACUAACGAAUAAGGGGUGGGCAAGUUCUGGUGUCAGCCGCCGCGGUAAAACCAGCACCUCAAGUGGUCAGGAUGAUUAUUGGGCCUAAAGCAUCCGUAGCCGGCUCUGUAAGUUUUCGGUUAAAUCUGUACGCUUAACGUACAGGCUGCCGGGGAUACUGCAGAGCUAGGGAGUGGGAGAGGUAGACGGUACUCGGUAGGAAGGGGUAAAAUCCUUUGAUCUAUUGAUGA
rnacentral:rRNA from 1 species